rnacentral:rRNA from 1 species
GAUGAACGCUGGCGGCGUGCCUAAUACAUGCAAGUCGAGCGAACGGACGAGAAGCUUGCUUCUCUGAUGUUAGCGGCGGACGGGUGAGUAACACGUGGAUAACCUACCUAUAAGACUGGGAUAACUUCGGGAAACCGGAGCUAAUACCGGAUAAUAUUUUGAACCGCAUGGUUCAAAAGUGAGAGACGGUCUUGCUGUCACUUAUAGAUGGAUCCGCGCUGCAUUAGCUAGUUGGUAAGGUAACGGCUUACCAAGGCAACGAUGCAUAGCCGACCUGAGAGGGUGAUCGGCCACACUGGAACUGAGACACGGUCCAGACUCCUACGGGAGGCAGCAGUAGGGAAUCUUCCGCAAUGGGCGAAAGCCUGACGGAGCAACGCCGCGUGAGUGAUGAAGGUCUUCGGAUCGUAAAACUCUGUUAUUAGGGAAGAACAUAUGUGUAAGUAACUGUGCACAUCUUGAGGGUACCUAAUCAGAAAGCCACGGCUAACUACGUG